rnacentral:rRNA from 1 species
CGCGGGAUUGGCGGGCGGGGCGGGGGCACGGGGGGACGGGGUGCAGCAGGCGCGAAAACUUUACAAUGCGGGAAACCGCGAUAAGGGGACACCGAGUGCCAGCAUAUUAUGUUGGCUGUCCACAUGUGUAAACGGCAUGUGUUAGCAAGGGCCGGGCAAGACCGGUGCCAGCCGCCGCGGUAACACCGGCGGCCCGAGUGGUAAUCACUUUUAUUGGGUCUAAAGGGUCCGUAGCCGGUUUGAUCAGUUCUUCGGGAAAUCUGACAGCUCAACUGUUAGGCUUCCGGGGAAUACUGUCAGACUUGGGACCGGGAGAGGUAAGAGGUACUACAGGGGUAGGAGUGAAAUCUUGUAAUCCCUGUGGGACCACCAGUGGCGAAGGCGUCUUACCAGAACGGGUCCGACGGUGAGGGACGAAAGCUGGGGGCACGAACCGGAUUAGAUACCCGGGUAGUCCCAGCCGUAAACGAUGUUCGCUAGGUGUCAGGGACGGUGCGACCGUUUCUGGUGCCGCAGGGAAGCCGUGAAGCGAACCACCUGGGAAGUACGGCCGCAAGACUGAAACUUAAAGGAAUGGCGGGGGAGCACUACAACGGGUGGAGCCUGCGGUUUAAUUGGACUCAACGCCGGAAAACUCACCGGGGGCGACAGCAACAUGUAGGUCAGGCUAAAGACCUUACCUGAAUCGCUGAGAGGAGGUGCAUGGCCGUCGUCAGUUCGUACUGUGAAGCAUCCUGUUAAGUCAGGCAACGAGCGAGACCCGUGCCCACUGUUGCCAGCAUGUCCUUCGGGAUGAUGGGUACUCUGUGGGGACCGCUGGUGCUAAACCAGAGGAAGGUGCGGGCUACGGUAGGUCAGUAUGCCCCGAAUCUCCCGGGCUACACGCGGGCUACAAUGGUUGGGACAAUGGGUCCCUACACCGAAAGGUGAUGGUAAUCUCCUAAACCCAACCGUAGUUCGAAUCGAGGACUGUAACUCGUCCUCGUGAAGCUGGAAUCCGUAGUAAUCGCGUUUCAACAUAGCGCGGUGAAUACGUCCCUGCUCCUUGCACGAAUUCGCCGAAUCACUAGU